UGCCAGCCGCCGCGGUAAUACGGAGGGUGCAAGCGUUGUUCGGAAUCAUUGGGCGUAAAGCGGGCGUAGGCGGCUAGGCAAGUCGGGUGUGAAAUCCCAGGGCUCAACCCUGGAACUGCACUCGAAACGGUCUAGCUAGAGUCUCGGAGAGGGUGGCGGAAUUCCCGGUGUAGAGGUGAAAUUCGUAGAUAUCGGGAGGAACACCAGUGGCGAAGGCGGCCACCUGGACGAUGACUGACGCUGAGGUCCGAAAGCGUGGGGAGCAAACAGGAUUAGAUA
rnacentral:rRNA from 1 species